AUUGAACGCUGGCGGCAGGCCUAACACAUGCAAGUCGAGCGAGCGGCGGACGGGAGAGUAAGGUAUGGGGAUCUGCACGAAAGAGGGGGAUAACUAGUGGAAACGGUGGCUAAUACCGCAUACUAACGGAUGAAACCAGAUUGUAUUUGCUAGUAGGUGGGGUAAAGGCUCACCUAGGCGACGAUCUCUAGCUGGUCUGAGAGGAUGAUCAGCCACACUGGGACUGAGACACGGCCCUGCCUCCUACGGGAGGCAGCAGUGGUGAAUAUUGCACAAUGGGCGCAAGCCUGAUGCAGCCAUGCCGCGUGUAUGAAGAAGGCCUUAGGGUUGUAAAGUACUUUCAGCGGGGAGGCGUUACCCGCAGAAGAAGCACCGGCUAACUCCGUGCCAGCAGCCGCGGUAAUAC
rnacentral:rRNA from 1 species